rnacentral:rRNA from 1 species
GACGAACGCUGGCGGCGUGCCUAAUACAUGCAAGUUGAGCGCUGAAGGUUGGUACUUGUACCAACUGGAUGAGCAGCGAACGGGUGAGUAACGCGUGGGGAAUCUGCCUUUGAGCGGGGGACAACAUUUGGAAACGAAUGCUAAUACCGCAUAAAAACUUUAAACACAAGUUUUAAGUUUGAAAGAUGCAAUUGCAUCACUCAAAGAUGAUCCCGCGUUGUAUUAGCUAGUUGGUGAGGUAAAGGCUCACCAAGGCGAUGAUACAUAGCCGACCUGAGAGGGUGAUCGGCCACACUGGGACUGGGACACGGCCCAAACUCCUACGGGAGGCAGCAGUAGGGAAUCUUCGGCAAUGGACGAAAGUCUGACCGAGCAACGCCGCGUGAGUGAAGAAGGUUGUCGGAUCGUAAAACUCUGUUGGUAGAGAAGAACGUUGGUGAGAGUGGAAAGCUCAGCAAGUGACGGUAACUACCCAGAAAGGGACGGCUAACUACGUG